GAUGAACGCUGGCGGCGUGCCUAAUACAUGCAAGUCGAGCGAACGGACGAGAAGCUUGCUUCUCUGAUGUUAGCGGCGGACGGGAGAGUAACACGUGGAUAACCUCCCUAUAAGACUGGGAUAACUUCGGGAAACCGGAGCUAAUACCGGAUAAUAUUUUGAACCGCAUGGUUCAAAAGUGAAAGACAGUCUUGCUGUCACUUAUAGAUGGAUCCGCGCUGCAUUAGCUAGUUGGUAAGGUAACGGCUUACCAAGGCAACGAUGUAUAGCCGACCUGAGAGGGUGAUCGGCCACACUGGAACUGAGACACGGUCCAGACUCCUACGGGAGGCAGCAGUAGGGAAUCUUCCGCAAUGGGCGAAAGCCUGACGCAGCAACGCCGCGUGAGUGAUGAAGGUCUUCGGAUCGUAAAACUCUGUUAUUAGGGAAGAACAGAUGUGUAAGUAACUGUGCACAUCUUGACGGUACCUAAUCAGAAAGCCACGGCUAACUACGUG
rnacentral:rRNA from 1 species